GCGUGUUCUUGUGUGUGCAGGCAGCGUGAAAGCGAGCAUGUGCGGUUCCUUGUCGCACACAUUCUUUGCGCAUUGGACGACCCUCAAGCUUUUUCCAAGGAAGUACCGGAACCGACAUGUCACCGAGCGAGCAGUCAAAUGGCGGGAACGGACCCAGAGGAAAGGUCCCAUGAGGGCGUGGGGCGCCGAGCGAGGCACUUGAAAGGCACAAGCAUUGGAGACCAGCUGCCUUCACAAUCAUGCCCCCCCGCCCCUUUCCUGGUAGUUGCUGUCGUUGUACCAAAAAGUGCAUAAGAGUGGAAGUUACUUAACCAUCGUUUCAAUCCUGGGGACAUUGAGUCAUUGCUAACCAGGGCCCGUCACUGCUAGCCAAAACAAGACUUCAUAGGUGCAUAUCAGAUGCCCGUCGCAGGUGUGUCAGCCUGUGACCAACUGGGAAAGCAGAUGCAGCUCGCCUCAAAGAAAUGCAUCAUCAACAUGCACGAGCUGCUUCAGAGACUGAGACUGAGAAGAAAUCAGCCAAAACAAACCUCUAAGACACUGGGGGGCGAGGCAAAGGACGGAAGUAUGUGAAAAAAAAAAA